GACGAACCCUGUUGGCGUGCCUAAUACAUGCAAGUCGAGCGGACCGAACGACUUUUUGCUCUUGUUUGGUCAGCGGCGGACGGGUGAGUAACACGUGGGCAACCUGCCCGCAAGACCGGGAUAACUCCGGGAAACCGGAGCUAAUACCGGAUAACACCGAAGACCGCAUGGUCUUCGGUUGAAAGGCGGCCUUUGGGCUGUCACUUGCGGAUGGGCCCGCGGCGCAUUAGCUAGUUGGUGAGGUAACGGCUCACCAAGGCGACGAUGCGUAGCCGGCCUGAGAGGGUGACCGGCCACACUGGGACUGAGACACGGCCCAGACUCCUACGGGAGGCAGCAGUAGGGAAUCUUCCGCAAUGGGCGAAAGCCUGACGGAGCGACGCCGCGUGAGCGAAGAAGGCCUUCGGGUCGUAAAGCUCUGUUGUGAGGGACGAAGGAGCGCCGUUCGAAGAGGGCGGCGCGGUGACGGUACCUCACGAGGAAGCCCCGGCUAACUACGUGCCAGCAGCCGCGGAAAUACGUAGGGGGCGAGCGUUGUCCGGAAUUAUUGGGCGUAAAGCGCGCGCAGGCGGUUCCUUAAGUCUGAUGUGAAAGCCCACGGCUCAACCGUGGAGGGUCAUUGGAAACUGGGGGACUUGAGUGCAGGAGAGGAGAGCGGAAUUCCACGUGUAGCGGUGAAAUGCGUAGAGAUGUGGAGGAACACCAGUGGCGAAGGCGGCUUUUUGGCCUGCAACUGACGCUGAGGCGCGAAAGCGUGGGGAGCAAACAGGUUUAGAUACCCUGGUAGUCCACGCCGUAAACGAUGAGUGCUAAGUGUUAGAGGGGUCACACCCUUUAGUGCUGCAGCUAACGCGAUAAGCUCUCCGCCUGGGGAGUUCGGCCGCAAG
rnacentral:rRNA from 1 species